rnacentral:rRNA from 1 species
AGUGAACGCUGGCGGUAUGCCUAACACAUGCAAGUCGAACGGAAGCACAGUAAGAGCUUGCUCUUAAGGGUGGCGGGGGGCGGGCGGGUAAGGAAUAGAUAGGCAUCUACUUUUACGGGGGGGAUAACGGAGGGACACUUACGCUAACAGCGCAUAUGUUCAACGGGUGAGAGCAAGAGUGCUUGGCAGCUUUGGCGAUAGAUUGAGCCGGUGUCGGAUUAGCUAGUUGGCGUGGUAAGGGCACACCAAGGCGACGAUCCGUAGCUGAUCUGAGAGGAUGAUCAGCCACACUGGAACUGAGACACGGUCCAGACUCCUACGGGAGGCAGCAGUGGGGAAUCUUGCGCAAUGGGCGCAAGCCUGACCCAGCCACGCCGCGUGAGUGAUGAAGGUCUUCGGAUCAUAAAACCCUGUUAUUGGGGAAGAACAGCUGUGUGUUAAUCUACGGCUGUUCUGACGGUACCUAAUCAGUAAGCCCCGGCUAACUUCGUG